UACAGAGGGGGCAAGCGUUUUUCGGAAUUAUUGGGCGUAAAGGGCGCGUAGGCGGCUAGAUGUGUCAAAGGUGAAAUCCCUCGGCUCAACUGAGGAACUGCCUUUGAAACUGUCUGGCUUGAGGCCGGGAGAGGGUAGCGGAAUUCCCAGUGUAGCGGUGAAAUGCGUAGAUAUUGGGAGGAACACCAGUGGCGAAGGCGGCUACCUGGACCGGUUCUGACGCUGAGGCGCGAAAGCGUGGGUAGCAAACAGG
rnacentral:rRNA from 1 species